rnacentral:misc_RNA from 1 species
UGUGGGAGCGGGCUUGCUCGCGAAUGCGCAGUGUCAGUCGCCAUAAAUGUUGGCUGGCCUAACGUAUUCGCGAGCAAGCCCGCUCCCACA